rnacentral:rRNA from 1 species
UACAGAGGUCCCGAGCGUUGUUCGGAUUCAUUGGCGUAAAGGGUGCGUAGGCGGCGGGGCAAGUCUGAUGUGAAAUCCUGGGCUCAACCUCAGAACUGCAUUGGAUACUGCCUUGCUAGAGUACAGAAGGGGCAACUGGAAUUCUCGGUGUAGCGGUGAAAUGCGUAGAUAUCGAGAGGAACACUGCGGCGAAGGCGGGUUGCCUGGGCUGAAUACUGACGCU